CUUCCUGCUGGCCAACAAUAACUAAGCACCCUUAUGUUGGAAAUUUAGAUUGCAUUCCAAAUUCGGUCUGUAAGCAACACCUUCCUUUUCAUUUGGUAAACAGCAGCAUUUUCUCAGCGUCUUUAACUUUCGCAGAGGAGACUUUAUUCCAUUUCUCUAUGCCAAGCAUCACUUAUUGAAUGCCCAUUUCUAAUGUCAGCAAUGCCCUGCCAAGCACCUUUCUGCAUUUUGUUUUCCUCUCAAAAACAACGUGAAGCACCUCUAUAUUCUCCUCGUCUCCGUAUUCAUCUUCCAAUCGUUAAAAUCCGUACCAGCUGCCUGCCUCGAACAUGAUCAAUGGAGUCUAUUGGCAUUCAAGCCGGGUAUAACCCAUGGGCUACCCGACAAACCUAAGAGGUACAGGGAUGGCUUAACUUGCACCAUCGACAACCGGGUUAACACCAUAUCACUCCAUGGGCUACCUGACAAACCAAAGAGGUUCUUAACAGCAAUGAUACAUUGUUGAGUUUCUAAAGAAAGCUGGAAUGUCUGAGUGUAAACCAAUUGCUACUCCAAUUGUAGUAGGUUCUCAUUUAUUCAAAUCAAUUGGUUCUCCUCAUCUGGGUCCUAACCAAUUCAGAUAGUUAGAUGGUGCUCUCCAGUAUCUCACAUUCGUAUAACCUGACACUUGUUUUGUGGUUAACAAGGUAGAUUUUGCAUCACCCCAAAGCCUCGACAACAGUCUAUCUAGGCACCCUUCUUUGGUUCUUUGCAAUGGAAAAACUUCAAAAUCAAAAUGUUUAAUCCACUGGCACUACCCCAACAUCAACCAAUACCCUAACUUCAAACACCAACCCAACAUCAACUAUUGCAGGAUUCAUCGUGGAUAAUAAAGGUAAACAAACUGAAGUCCUUACAUCAAGGAAAAUAAAUGUUGAUGAUAGAAAAAGUCACAAAUGUAGGAUCAUUUUACAAAACUUGAUGGUGAUCUUAAAACUCCUAGAGUUGAAUGUAAUUAUUGUGAAAAAGAUUAUGCAUGUCAUACUAUUCUUAAUGGAACAAGUAAUAUAUGGAGUCAUUUAAAAGUAUGCAAAAAGUUUCUUUUUGUGCAUGAUAAGGAGCAAAAAAUUUU